UCCGAUUCCUUCGUUCUUGAGUUAACAAUCGACUUACCCUCCAUUAUAAUAAUAGCUGUCCUCCAUUAUAUAUUAUAGCUGUUUCUUUUAUAGAGAAUGGGCUCUAAGAUGUUUCAUGUUGUUUUGCUUCCUUGCAUUCUCUCGGCAAUACUUGCACACUCGGCCAAUGGCCAAGCCAUGGCACCAUCUCCGCUAGCAGAACCUCCAAGCAGUGAUGCCAAGACAAUCGAUCAAGCAAUCGCUUACAUCCUUAUGAUCGCGGCACUUAUCGUGACAUAUCUUGUUCACUGAUAUGUGAAGAUAAUUUCCCCUGGCUAGGUGUUUUCUUCCCUCAAGCAAUGGAAGGAUAUCCGACAUCAAUGUUCAGUCAUUUGUUGCACUACAUUUACAGCGUUUGAUUUUGAAGUUUUAUGGUGUAAAGAUGAAUAACUGCACAACUUAUUAAAGGCAAGGACUUCGUUGCUUUUCUCAAUCGACAAUCGGAUAGAUCUCAACAAAGUUCAGACUAUGACGGCGGUCUCAUUUAUUUGUAUUUUCCCAUUUCUUUCCUUUUUGUGAAACGAAUGGAUAUAUACAUGACACAUUAGAAAGAUUCUAAUAAAGAAAAAUGUUGCUAAGUUUACACUGAUUCAGAGGGAUA